rnacentral:rRNA from 1 species
UACGGGGGGGGCAAGCGUUGUUCGGAAUUACUGGGCGUACAGGGCUCGUAGGCGGCCAACUAAGUCGGACGUGAAAUCCCCAGGCUCAACCUGGGAACUGCGUCCGAUACUGGAUGGCUUGAAUCCGGGAGAGGGAUGCAGAAUUCCAGGUGUAGCGGGGAAAUGCGCAGAUAUCAGGAGGAACACCGAUGGCGAAGGCAGAGCUCUGGGCCGUAACUGACGCUGAGGAGCGAAAGCAUGGGGAGCGAACAGG